AUAAUACUCCCCCCGUUCGGAAUUACUUGUCUUGAAACUAGAUGUAUCUAAAAUUAAAAUACGUCUAGAUACAUCCAUUUCUGCGACAAGUAAUUACGAACGGAGCGAGUAGAUA
rfam:Triticum aestivum genome assembly, contig: Triticum_aestivum_CS42_TGACv1_scaffold_158835_2DL